rnacentral:lncRNA from 1 species
CGUCAUGAAGCCAAACUCUUUCUUGUCCAUCUCCAUCUCGUAGGAAGACCCUUCUCCCUACUCAACUCUCUAAUUGCUCGCUCUAUCCUAUAUCAAGGGGAGAACAUGCGGUAAAUAUAAAAUUCGUCUACACACGUAGCAACUGUGACAACAUUCACCAGCUUUAUCUCUCCAUUUGACUGUCUUUGGCUUCUGUUUGCUUAACAUGGACUACAACUCCAGCCCGCACACAAUUAUCUGCUAGAAAUGGUAAACACAUUGAGCACCUCACAAACAUAUCACAUCCAGUAACAAGCCACGAUAACUCACAUGAGAAAAGAGAAAACAAUAAAAUAAAACACUUGGUGCAUAACUUGCAUACAUGAGUACAUACAAGUACAACCAAAAUAAUCGGGCUCCGUAAGCAAGAUUACUAUGGCAAAAUGAUGUGCCAUGUGUCAGCAUCCUUCAAACAGUGGCUUCGUCAAAUGCAAGCCCUGUGAACUCCUCUUUAGUUGUUUGCUCAAAACAUUUAUGCCAACCAUAUUAGUUUUGGGCCUCUCACAUCAUCCAUCUGCUCAUCUAAAAAGAAUAAAGGAUAUUAGACAAUCAAUACAGCAUACGUAACAGUCAGGUAUAUUCAGGGAAAGGAACAAAUAUUGAGCCUGUAGAUGGUUUGUAGUAUAUUUAGUCAAGGAAAAAACAAUGAAUAACACUUGCAAUACAUUUUGUACCAAGCAAAGGAACAAAAUGUACAGUAAAACAUGCUUUUGAAUCAUGUGUAUAUAUAGAAGGGGCGAAUGCACGUGCACAUAUUAUGCAUACAAAAACAUCAGUACUGGCCCUCUUUUCACUUUCUUGCAUCAACCAGGUUUCCACACAUACACAAAAAAAAAGAUGCCGAUAACAGACAGCAAGGAAAUAAAUAUUCGAGGUGUGAAUUGAAAUUUUUGAUGUGGAGCUACCAAGCAAAUGAGGGGCGUCGAUGAAAAACGGCCUGCUGUAGAUGUCAUCCAAAAUUAUUUGAACAGUGGAAGUAAUAAAGAAAACUACCAAAAACAAUUUGAAUACAUGUAUAAUAUUUUCUGCAAAAAAUAUCAUGAACGCUAAUGCAAGCAUCUUAGUUGUUUUUCUUAAAGUCCUCUACACAAACUUCAGAACCAUAAUAGCUGGGAAGCAAUUUUAGAUGAUUGACCCUAGUAAUCUAGAUAGAUUGAAUUUCUACAGCCACCGAAUUGUACUCGAGUGAUUUAUACCUUGAACUACACACUGAGAACUUCUUUGUAGACUAUGUUCUUUGUACAAUUUGCAUUGGAGUUGGUUUGGCCUUCCUUUUGCUUAUCUGGGACAGUAAGAAUCUUCAUAUUACUUCUUGAUGUAGCUCUAGAAAGAGCAACAUAGAGUUGCCCGUGUGAAAAUACCGGUUCAGGAAGGUAUACACCAACAUUUUGUAUAGUUUGUCCCUGUGCCUUGUUAAUGGUCAGAGCAAAGCUAAGCCUGACUGGAAACUGCUUCCUCUUGAACCUAAAUGGAAACAUCUCAUCAUCUGAUGGGCAAAGAGGAAUUCGAGGAAGGAACACCCUCUUACUAGCAUGAUGGCCCAGCACAAUCUCAGCAUCAAUUGCAUUCCUCAUGAACCCUCGGACAAUCAGCCUCGUCCCGUUGCACAACCCACUCACUGGGUCAAUGUUCCGUAACAAUAUAAUCUCUACUCCUAUAAAAUACCCAGUUGGUGGUAAUGAUGUGCCUGCCAUACCUGAUUUUCGAUCGUCAGAUGUGCAUCCAACGCAUGAGAGCUAACUAUGGUUUAUGUUUGUAAAAAAAACCUUAUUCUCUUCGUUCAGCUCCAGCCAUCCCCUCCUUAUCCAAAUCCUAUGAGCGAAGGCAUUGGAUCCUUCACGAAAACGAAAGAAAACAGUGGAACCAAAGAGGGCAGCGCCGCUGCCGCUCCACACACCGCCGGCGCCGCCGAUGCAGUCCGCUCCUAACACCCUCUUCCGCCUCCUCACUGCAGCAACAUCCCCAUCGCUCACUAUCCCCGAUUUCUCCCCCCGCCUGCCCCGUCUCCUCCGACGCCGACGUCGGCAAACACGCAGCCGCCGCCGCUCAUCCCCGGAGUCCGCGACGCCUCCCUUCCCUGGUACUCUGAGGUAGCAGCCCCUGCGCCCACCGAUUCCCCCUCCUCCCGGUUGUCUCCCCUACCCCAUCUACUCUGGCGCCGAUGUCGGCAAGUACGUCGCCGGCGCCGUCCGCGUCUGAUUCCGCGACCCCUCUCUUACCUUAUUCUCUGACGCAGCAGCCCAGCCGCCCACCAUCUCCCCAUCCUUCCCUGCAUCUCCUCCUUCCCCCACCCCAUCUCCUACGACGCCGACGUUGGCAAGUACGCCGCCGGCACGUUCCGUCCCCCGAGCUCGCGACGCCACUCCUGCGUCAUCCUCUGAUGCAGAAACCCGGCCGCCCACCACCUCCUCCUCCUGGCCGGCUCUUCAGCGACGCUGGCGCCAGCUUCCCUGCGACGCGCUCCAGGCCAUUCCCUUCGAGUACUUGCUGGUCCACACCCGUUUCCUCCAGUAAACUCUGUUUCAGAGACGGCUGGUCUGGUGUGAUGGUCGCCUCUGCUGUUGCCUCUCCUUCCUACCCGUCCCGCCUCCAAAUUUCAAAUUUCCUGUCACUCAAAGUUCAAAUCCGCGCGCCCAGUUCAAACUGUCCAGAAACCACUCCUGCAGCCCAAUAUAAAUAAGUGGGCAGGCAUAUGGGACUCUGGCUGCUCAAACUACACCCCCAAGAAGUCACACAUUGGUCACGCCAACCUUCAGAUCGAACGGAGUGUGAGGAAGUGUGAUUCACUGCUCUUCGUCAUCUAAUCUUCUUCGUCAAGGGCAAGGUAUGGGUUGUGAAUGAAUAUUAAAAUCUUCUCUAUGAUCUCAUCAACCAUUGCUUCAUCUUUGUUAUUAGACAACCCCGUCUGAAUACUGUAUCAGUAGCAGUUGGAGAAGUACUGAAUGAUACACAUCUUACAUAGCUGACUCCCAACAUCCUGGAUUAUUUAUAUCUAAUCUGACUGCAAUUUUUAUGCAUUUCAUAGCUUAUUUCCCGUCUGAAUACUGUAUCAGUAGCAGUUGGAAAAGUACUGAAUGAUACAAACUUUACAUAGCUGACUCCCAACAUCCUGGAUUAUUUAUAUCUAAUCUGAUUGCAUUUUUUAUGCAUUUCAUAGUUUAUAUUUCAUCUAACCAGUCUGCAUUUUGAAUGCAUUAUGUUGUAGCCAAGUCCAACAGAACUUGCUCCAGUGGCACGCCAAGUCCUCAUACAAGUAUAUUUAUGCGCGAGCCAAUAGAUAUGACAAGUUCAAGUCAGUCGUCUUUGGAUGAUGAAGUGACAAACGAAUCAUCUACGAUUUUUCCUACUAAUGGCAUGCUCAUAUCAACUGAGGGCUUGGAGCGAGGAGAAAGCUCAAAAGGUAAAUCUAUAAGGCGAAAUUCUAUGCAUAAGUAAUUUUAUUUAACUACUUAAUUAAUUUCUCAUAAAAAUGCUAUAGGACGAAAGCGUGUACGUGAAGCAAUAAGAUAUGCUAGCCGUACACCAGAACAAAUCCAAGCAAGGCGAGAACGUGUUAGAGCACGUCGGCAAAUUUUAACACCUGCUGAGAGGGAAAAGAUUAAUGCACAAAGAAGAGAGAAAAGACAACGAAUGGCACUUGAUGAGAGGAAUGCAAGCCAACGAGCACGUAGGCAAAGUUUGACAAUAGAUGAGAGGCAAGAAAUAAAUGCACGCCGGCGAGCACGUAGGCAAAGCCUACCACCUGAAGAGCGGCAAGCACUCCUAGCUCAAUGUAAUGCAAGCUACGCAUCUAAACGAGAUGCCCUCUGCAGGGAUUCUGUUGCACUACAGUGCCCUGCAGGUUCAUUGAUGGGACAUCCAUCAUCAAGUUCUUAUGUCUUUAGCCACCCAGGUAAGCUCGCACAAACUUCUGCUACAAUUCAAGGUAAUUCUCAAACACAUCUGUAUAUAUGUAACAACAUCGAUCUUCAAAUUACAUUUAGGAGAUGAUGAUACUACCCAGCACAUGGAACUCACAUCGGUGCAAUGUCCAACAUCUACAUCAGUGGACAAUCCAUCAUCACCCCAUGAUGGUUUCGUAUAUUCAGAUUCCCCAAUAGAAAGCUUUGUCGCCGAUGAUUAUGAUUCUCACAUGUCCGAAGAACAAGAUGAUGAGUACUUUGCAUUUGCUGGGAGAGGUAUUGCCAAUGCCAUGGAUACCUUAUUUCUCUACAUACAAAAAAAGCAAGACCUAUAUAACGCCAUUCAUCUCAUUAUAUGUAGGUGACGAUGAAGACUUUGUAGAUGCCUUUACAAUAGACACCAUUGUCCCUGACCUAUAUGAUCGUGUCUACCACAAUAUACCAGUAAGUACUCACAUGUUGACACCAAAACCUGAUUGCAAUCACUGUGGUGCUAAGAGAUUCCAGUAUGAAACAAGUGGAUUUUGUUGUCGGUCCGGAAAGAUUAACCUAGCACACUCAGAACCUCCCUUGGAACUUCAAAUGUUAUACAAAAGUUCAGAUCCCAAUGCCGUGCAUUUUAGGGAGAACAUUCGGUACUUUAAUGGACACUUCUCAUUCACCACCCUUGGAGUCAGUCUUGACAAUAGAUACACAAACAUGAGUUCAGGAGUGUAUACGUUCCGAGCUCACGGUCAGAUUUACCACAACGUCUUCUCAUUUGGUCCAACUCAAGAUGGACCUAAGCAUUUGGAGCUCUACUUCUAUGAUGAUGAUCCAAGUUUACAACAUAGGUUUCGGUGCUCCCCAAACCUAGACCGAGAUGUCAUUCGUAAGCUUGUCGACAUCCUCAAGGAUAAUCCUUAUUCUGAGACAUUCAUGAAUCUAGGUGGAGUCGAUGACCUUGAGGAAUACCGUAUUGAACUAAACACCGACAUGAGGUUGGACCAACGGAGAUAUAACUUGCCUAUAUCAUCGGAGGUUGCGGCUAUUUGGGUUGAGGGUAAUGAACUAUGUAAGCACUUUGAUCGUAGCAUAGUACUGUUUGGUAACGACAACAAGAGAUAUAGCAUCCAGCCAUAUUAUGGAUGCUAUGAUCCGUUGUCUUACCCUUUAUUCUUUCCAAGAGGGGAGAUUGGUUGGCAUCCCGAAAUCCCAAAGAAUGGCGUCAACUUGAAUGAGAUACUUCAAUCUCGUCGCAGUGGUCGACAUAGUCUAGGUAAUUCAUAUAACGGAAAUAGCAUGUGUUCAUUUUGUUUAUCCUCAUUGUACUUACUUUUCUAAAUAUUUCCUCUUGUUACCUCUCAUUUCCAUAGGUACAUAUACAAAUAGUCGAUUAUGCGUAUCUGUUAGAGACUACUAUUGCUACAAGUUUCAAAUACGUCGUGGUGUAUUUAACACUAUGCUAUACGGUAAACAACUGUGCCAACAGUAUGUGGUUGAUAUGUACAUCAAGGUUGAAAGCUCAAGAUUGGACUAUAUCAAAAAUCACCAGAAACAAAUACGUGCUGAUCUAUACCAAGGUGUUGUUGAUAGCCUUCAAGCUGGGGAAAACCGUGCGGAUGCAGUGGGCAAAUGGACUAUACUUCCUACAUCAUUUAUUGGGGGAAAAAGAGAUAGGAGACGAAGGUAUCUUGAUGCCAUGGCCUUGGUGCAAAAGUAUGGGAAACCAGAUAUAUUUUUAACCAUGACUUGCAAUCCGAAUUGGGGUGAGAUAAUUAGUGAGCUGGAGCCUGGACAAACCCCACAGGAUCGCCCUGAUCUUAUCGUACGAGUAUUUCGAGCAAAGUUGGAAGACCUCAAGAUACAACUUUUUAAGAAGCACAUGCUCGGUAAGGUAGCAGCAUAUGUGUAUGUCGUUGAGUUUCAGAAAAGAGGUCUACCACAUGCUCAUUUCCUCCUAAUCAUGGAGGGGAGGUACAAGCUAACUUGCCCAGAGCAAUAUGAUUGUCUAAUAUCUGCUGAAUUGCCAGACAAAUCCAAGUACCCAGAGUUGUACAAAAUGGUCGUCAAGCACAUGAUGCAUGGCCCGUGUGGAGUCCUCAACCCCAAGAACGUGUGCAUGCAAAAUGGUAGCUGCAAGAACUACUAUCCACGACCAUUUAAUGCGUCAACCCUUCAGGGAAAGGACUCAUAUCCCAUAUACCGGAGGAGAGAUGAUGGACGUCAUGCGAAGGUACGGGGUGAAGAUUUAGACAAUAGGUGGGUUGUUCCAUACAAUCCUUACCUACUAAGAAGGUAUAACUGCCACAUCAAUGUUGAGGUUUGCUCAAGCAUAAAAGCUGUGAAGUACCUCUUUAAAUACAUAUAUAAGGGGCAUGAUCAAGCAUCUGUUUCUAUCGACGCGGUGGAUAGUGACGGAAACAUUGAUGAAAUAAAGCAAUACAGAGAUUCCAGAUGGAUUACACCACCAGAAGCAUUAUGGAGGAUCUAUGGUUUUGACCUUAGUAAUUUAUUUCCUUCUGUUAGGCAGCUACAACUCCACCUCCCUAAUAUGCACAUGGUGUCAUUCCCGGCGGGCGCAAAUCUGAAUGAUGUCCUCUCCCAGGAAGGAGCUUCCAAGACAAUGCUAACCGAGUAUUUUGAAGCAAACAAGAAGUAUGAGUUGGCCCGGGGAAUUUUAUAUAAGGAUUUUCCGGCAUCUUUUGUUUGGAUCUCGGGUGGAAAGUAUUGGAAAAGGAGGGAUGAAUGCACACAGAUCGGGAGAAUUGUGUCUGCUCAUCCAGCCGAAGGGGAGACGUAUUAUCUUAGAGUGCUUCUAAACCAUGUCACAGGUGCUACAUCUUUCCAAGACCUAAGGACAGUGGAUGGUAUUGUUUUCCCGACAUUUCGUGAAGCUGCUGAAAGGAGGGGUCUUAUCGAGUCAGAUAAUACUAUUGACGAGUGUCUUAAUGAAGCUGAGGUUUUUCAGAUGCCAUCUUCCCUUCGAACGCUAUUUGCCACUAUAUUGGUCUUUUGUGAGCCCAGCAAUGUGCGUGGUCUAUGGGAUAGGCACUUGGAAGCUAUGAUAGAAGACUAUCGACUAAACCACAUGUCCCCUCAUGUAGUUGAGCAGAUGGCUUUGUUAGAUAUAAAAAGUAUGCUUGAAUCGAUGGGGAAGGACAUAUCAUCAUUACCUCUUCCAGAAAUUGUUGAGUCAUAUGAUGGCUCAAAUAACGAGGCUAGGGAGAUCACAGAGGAGUCGACCAUAGGGGUGAACCCAGAACACCUUGGCUUUUCAUCUUUCCUAAACCCAGAAGAGAGAUAUGCAUAUGAUGAGAUACUUGCAACAAUCAAUAGUGGCCAAGGAGGUGUGUUCUUUGUUGAUGGACCAGGAGGCACUGGAAAGACUUAUCUAUACAAACACUACUUGCAAAAGUACGUGGUGAGGGUAAGAUAGCUAUUGCAACAGCAAAAUCAGGCGUUGCUGCAUCCAUCUUGCCCGGCGGGAGGACUGCACACUCAAGGUUUAAAAUACCAUUGAACAUUGAAGAUGGUGGAGUUUGCAGUUUCACCAAGCAAAGUGGGACAGCUAAGCUUCUUAUGAGCGCCUCCCUCAUAAUUUGGGAUGAGGCCUCCAUGACAAGGAGACAGGCAGUCGAGGCCCUUGAUAAUAGCAUGAGGGACAUCAUGGCUCAACCUGACCUGCCAUUUGGUGGAAAGACUGUCGUGUUUGGGGGACAUUUCAGACAAGUGUUUCCUCUUGUUCGCAAGGGAACAAGGUCACAAAUAAUUGACGCGACGCUAUGCAAGUCUUACCUUUGGGAGAGUAUGAGACAUAUAAGACUUGUCCGUAAUAUGAGGGCUCAAAGUGAUCCAUGGUUUGUUGAUUAUCUUCUGCCUGUUGGGAGUGGCACCGAAGAUACUAUGGAUGAUGGUUACAUACGACUCCCAGAUGAGAUUUGUGUACCAUAUACCGGCGUUGCCUCUGAUAUUGACAAGCUUAUUGAAAGUGUUUUCCCGAUGCCGCUAGAUGAAAACCUCUUGGAUCCAAACUACAUAGCGUCCCGAGCAAUUCUAUCAACUCGGAAUGAGUACAUUGACAAAAUCAAUAUGAGGAUGAUUGAGAGAUUUCCUGGGGAGGAGAUGAUAUACUACAGUUUUGAUCGCGCAAAGGAUGAUCCACACAACUACUACCCUGCAGAAUUCUUGAAUUCAUUGACACCUAAUGGUCUACCUCCCCAUAUCCUCAAGUUGAAGAUUAAUUAUCCUAUUAUAUUGUUACGGAACAUUGACCCAGCGAGUGGGUUGUGCAAUGGGACGAGGCUGAUUGUCCGAGGGUUCAUGAGGAAUGCAAUUGAUGCUGAGAUUGUGCUGGGCCAGCAUGCUGGUAAGAGGGUGUUCCUUCCUCGAAUUCCUCUUUGCCCAUCAGAUGAUGAGAUGUUUCCAUUUAGGUUCAAGAGGAAGCAGUUUCCAGUCAGGCUUAGCUUUGCUAUGACCAUUAACAAAGCACAUGGACAAACUAUACAAAAUGUUGGUGUAUACCUCCCUGAACCGGUAUCUUCACACGAGCAACUCUAUGUUGCUCUUUCUAGAGCUACAUCAAGAAGUAAUAUGAAGAUUCUUACUGUCCCAGAUAAGCAAAAGGAAGGCCAAACCAACUCCAAUGCAAAUUGUACAAAGAACAUAGAGUUGGAAGUUCUCAGAUUGACCCUAGUAAUCUAGAUAGAUUGAAUUUCUACAGCCACCGAAUUGUACUCGAGUGAUUUAUACCUUGAACUACACGCUGAGAACUUCUUUGUAGACUAUGUUCUUUGUACAAUUUGCAUUGGAGUUGGUUUGGCCUUCCUUUUGCUUAUCUGGGACAGUAAGAAUCUUCAUAUUACUUCUUGAUGUAGCUCUAGAAAGAGCAACAUAGAGUUGCCCGUGUGAAAAUACCGGUUCAGGGAGGUAUACACCAACAUUUUGUAUAGUUUGUCCAUGUGCCUUGUUAAUGGUCAUAGCAAAGCUAAGCCUGACUGGAAACUGCUUCCUCUUGAACCUAAAUGGAAAAUCUCAUCAUCUGAUGGGCAAAGAGGAAUUCGAGGAAGGAACACCCUCUUACCAGCAUGCUGGCCCAGCACAAUCUCAGCAUCAAUUCCAUUCCUCAUGAACCCUCGGACAAUCAGCCUCGUCCCGUUGCACAACCCACUCGCUGGGUCAAUGUUCCGUAACAAUAUAAUAGGAAAAUUAAUCUUCAACUUGAGGAUAUGGGGAGGUAGACCAUUAGGUGUCAAUGAAUUCAAGAAUUCUGCAAGGUAGUAGUUGUGUGGAUCAUCCUCCGCGCGAUCAAAACUGUAGUAUAUCAUCUCCUCCCCAGGAAAUCUCUCAAUCAUCCUCAUAUUGAUUUUGUCAAUGUACUCAUUCCGAGUUGAUAGAAUUGCUCGGGACGCUAUGUAGUUUGGAUCCAAGAGGUUUUCAUCUAGCGGCAUCGGGAAAACACUUUCAAUAAGCUUGUCAAUAUCAGAGGCAACGCCGGUAUAUGGUACACAAAUCUCAUCUGGGAGUCGUAUGUAACCAUCAUCCAUAGUAUCUUUGGUGCCAUUCCCGACAGGCAGAAGAUAAUCAGCAAACCAUGGAUCACUUUGAGCCCUCAUAUUACGGACAAGUCUUAUAUGUCUCAUACUCUCCCAAAGGUAAGACUUGCGUAGCGUCGCGUCAAUUAUUUGUGACCUUGUUCCCUUGCGAACAAGAGGAAGCACUUGUCUGAAAUGUCCCCCAAACACGACAGUCUUUCCACCAAAUGGCAGGUCAGGUUGAGCCAUGAUGUCCCUCAUGCUAUUAUCAAGGGCCUCGACUGCCUGUCUCCUUGUCAUGGAGGCCUCAUCCUAAAUUAUGAGGGAGGCGCUCAUAAGAAGCUUAGUUGUCCCACUUUGCUUGGUGAAACUGCAAACUCCACCAUCUUCAAUGUUCAAUGGUAUUUUAAACCUUGAGUGUGCAGUCCUCCCGCCGGGCAAGAUGGAUGCAACAACGCCUGAUUUUGCUGUUGCAAUAGCUAUUUUACCCUCACCACAUACUUUUGCAAGUAGUGCUUUGUAUAGAUAAGUCUUUCCAGUGCCUCCUGGUCCAUCAACAAAGAACACACCUCCUUGGCCACUAUUGAUUGUUGCAAGUAUCUCAUCAUAUGCAUAUCUCUCUUCUGGGUUUAGGAAAGAUGAAAAGCCAAGGUAUUCUGGGUUCACCCCUAUGGUCGACUCCUCUGUGAUCUCCCUAGCCUUGUUAUUUGAGCCAUCAUAUGACUCAACAAUUUCUGGAAGAGGUAAUGAUGAUAUGUCCUUCCCCAUCGAUUCAAGAAUACUUUUUAUAUCUAACAAAGCCAUCUGCUCAACUGCAUGAGGGGACAUGUGGUUUAGUCGAUAGUCUUCUGUCAUAGCUUCCAAGUGCCUGUCCCAUAGACCAUGCACAUUGCUGGGCUCACAAAAGACCAAUAUAGUGGCAAAUAGCCUUCAAAGGGAAGAUGGCAUCUGAAAAACCUCAAAUUCAUUAAGACACUCGUCAAUAGUAUUAUCUGACUCGAUAAGACCCCUCCUUUCAGCAGCUUCACGAAAUGUCGGGAAAACAAUACCAUCCACUGUCCUUAGGUCUUGGAAAGAUGUAGCACCUGUGACAUGGUUUAGAAGCACUCUAAGAUAAUACCUCUCCCCUUCGGCUGGAUGAGCAGACACAAUUCUCCCGAUCUGUGUGCAUUCAUCCCUCCUUUUCCAAUACUUUCCACCCGAGAUCCAAACAAAAGAUGCCGGAAAAUCCUUAUAUAAAAUUCCCCGGGCCAACUCAUACUUCUUGUUUGCUUCAAAAUACUCGGUUAGCAUUGUCUUGGAAGCUCCUUCCUGGGAGAGGACAUCAUUCAGAUUUGCGCCCGCCGGGAAUGACACCAUGUGCAUAUUAGGGAGGUGGAGUUAUAGCUGCCUAACAGAAGGAAAUAAAUUACUAAGGUCAAAACCAUAGAUCCUCCAUAAUGCUUCUGGUGGUGUAAUCCAUCUGGAAUCUCUGUAUUGCUUUAUUUCAUCAAUGUUUCGUCACUAUCCACCGCGUCGAUAGAAACAGAUGCUCGAUCAUGCCCCUUAUAUAUGUAUUUAAAGAGGUACUUCACAGCUUUUAUGCUUGAGCAAACCUCGACGUUGAUGUGGCAGUUAUACCUUCUUAGUAGGUAAGGAUUGUAUGGAACAACCCACCUAUUGUCUAAAUCUUCACCCCGUACCUUCGCAUGACGUCCAUCAUCUCUCCUCCGGUAUAUGGGAUAUGAGUCCUUUCCCUGAAGGGUUGACGCAUUAAAUGGUCGUGGAUAGUAGUUCUUGCAGCUACCAUUUUGCAUGCACACGUUCUUGGGGUUGAGGACUCCACACGGGCCAUGCAUCAUGUGCUUGACAACCAUUUUGUACAACUCUGGGUACUUGGAUUUGUCUGGCAAUUCAGCAGAUAUUAGAUAGUCAUAUUGCUCUGGGCAAGUUAGCUUGUACCUCCCCUCCAUGAUUAGGAGGAAAUGAGCAUGUGGUAGACCUCUUUUUUGAAACUCAACGACAUACACAUAUGCUGCUACCUUACCGAGCAUGUGCUUCUUAAAAAGUUGUAUCUUGAGGUCUUCCAACUUUGCUCGAAAUACUCAUACGAUAAGAUCAGGGCGAUCCUGUGGGGUUUGUCCAGGCUCCAGCUCACUAAUUAUCUCACCCCAAUUCGGAUUGCAAGUCAUGGUUAAAAAUAUAUCUGGUUUCCCAUACUUUUGCACCAAGGCCAUGGCAUUAAGAUACCUUCGUCUCCUAUCUCUUUUUCCCCCAAUAAAUGAUGUAGGAAGUAUAGUCCAUUUGCCCACUGCAUCCGCACGGUUUUCCCCAGCUUGAAGGCUAUCAACAACACCUUGGUAUAGAUCAGCACGUAUUUGUUUCUGGUGAUUUCUGAUAUAGUCCAAUCUUGAGCUUUCAACCUUGAUGUACAUAUCAACCACAUACUGUUGGCACAGUUGUUUACCGUAUAGCAUGGUGUUAAAUACACCACGACGUAUUUGAAACUUGUAGCAAUAGUAGUCUCUAACAGAUACGCAUAAUCGACUAUUUGUAUAUGUACCUAUGGAAAUGAGAGGUAACAAGAGGAAAUAUUUAGAAAAGUAAGUACAAUGAGGAUAAACAAAAUGAACACAUGCUAUUUCCGUUAUAUGAAUUACCUAGACUAUGUCGACCACUGCGACGAGAUUGAAGUAUCUCAUUCAAGUUGACGCCAUUCUUUGGGAUUUCGGGAUGCCAACCAAUCUCCCCUCUUGGAAAGAAUAAAGGGUAAGACAACGGAUCAUAGCAUCCAUAAUAUGGCUGGAUGCUAUAUCUCUUGUUGCCGUUACCAAACAGUACUAUGCUACGAUCAAAGUGCUUACAUAGUUCAUUACCCUCAACCCAAAUAGCCGCAACCUCCGAUGAUAUAGGCAAGUUAUAUCUCCGUUGGUCCAACCUCAUGUCGGUGUUUAGUUCAAUACGGUAUUCCUCAAGGUCAUCGACUCCACCUAGAUUCCUGAAUGUCUCAGAAUAAGGAUUAUCCUUGAGGAUGUCGACAAGCUUACGAAUGACAUCUCGGUCUAGGUUUGGGGAGCACCGAAACCUAUGUUGUAAACUUGGAUCAUCAUCAUAGAAGUAGAGCUCCAAAUGCUUAGGUCCAUCUUGAGUUGGACCAAAUGAGAAGACGUUGUGGUAAAUCUGACCGUGAGCUCGGAAUGUAUACACUCCUGAACUCAUGUUUGUGUAUCUAUUGUCAAGACUGACUCCAAGGGUGGUGAAUGAGAAGUGUCCAUUAAAGUACCGAAUGUUCUCCCUAAAAUGCACGGCAUUGGGAUCUGAACUUUUGUAUAACAUUUGAAGUUCCAAGGGAGGUUCUGAGUGUGCUAGGUUAAUCUUUCCGGACCGACAACAAAAUCCACUUGUUUCAUACUGGAAUCUCUUAGCACCACAGUGAUUGCAAUCAGGUUUUGGUGUCAACAUGUGAGUACUUACUGGUAUAUUGUGGUAGACACGAUCAUAUAGGUCAGGGACAAUGGUGUCUAUUGUAAAGG